rnacentral:rRNA from 1 species
UACGUAGGGUGCGAGCGUUAAUCGGAAUUACUGGGCGUAAAGUGUGCGCAGGCGGCAGAGCAAGUCGAGUGUGAAAGCCCCGGGCUCAACCUGGGAAUGGCAAUGGAUACUGGCGAGCUAGAGUGUGUCAGAGGAUGGUGGAAUUCCCGGUGUAGCGGUGAAAUGCGUAGAGAUCGGGAGGAACAUCAGUGGCGAAGGCGGCCAUCUGGGACAACACUGACGCUGAGGCACGAAAGCGUGGGGAGCAAACAGG